UACGGUAGGGUGCAAGCGUUGUCCGGAAUUAUUGGGCGUAAAGAGCUCGUAGGCGGUCUGUUGCGUCGGCUGUGAAAACCCGAGGCUCAACCUCGGGCCUGCAGCCGAUACGGGCAGACUAGAGUUCGGCAGGGGAGACUGGAAUUCCUGGUGUAGCGGUGAAAUGCGCAGAUAUCUGGAGGAACACCGGUGGCGAAGGCGGCAUCCUGGACCGGUAUUGACGGCUGAGGCGCGAAAGCCAGGGGAGCAA
rnacentral:rRNA from 1 species